rnacentral:rRNA from 1 species
GAUCAUGGCUCAGGAUGAACGCUAGCUACAGGCUUAACACAUGCAAGUCGAGGGGCAGCGGGAUUGAAGCUUGCUUCAAUUGCCGGCGACCGGCGCACGGGUGAGUAACGCGUAUCCAACCUUCCGUACACUCAGGGAUAGCCUUUCGAAAGAAAGAUUAAUACCUGAUGGUAUGAUGAGAUUGCAUGAUAGCAUCAUUAAAAGAUUUAUCGGUGUACGAUGGGGA